UGACUCUCCUUUUACAUAUACCUUACGUACUGCACAGUGCACACCAAAAGCAUUUUGACAGUACAUAAUACACAGCUACCUCUCUGAAGUUGCAUCCUUUAAUUGAUCCCUCAGAGUAGACCGAUCGUAUCCAAUUUUCUCUCUAAUGGAGGAAUUCGAGCAGCAGGCAAUUACAGCUUCACUCUCAUCACUCCGGCUGUAUUACGAUAUUUUCCUGAGUUUCAGAGGCGAAGAUACUCGAAACAACAUCACAAACAGCUUAUACAACGCCUUAUACUCGAAAGGCAUUCGAGUUUUUCGAG
rnacentral:misc_RNA from 1 species